GCACUCCAUGCUGGAUCCUGGUACUCUGAUAAUGCCAACAAACUUGGAGAGGAACUGGAUGGUUGGCUCAGAGCAUCUGGAUUGGAUAAAUCACCUGAUGUUAGAGGUGUGAUUGCCCCGCAUGCAGGUUACUCAUACUCAGGUCGGUGUGCAGCAUAUGCCUUUGCUAACAUAGAUCCAGAGGCCAUUUCACGUGUGUUUCUUCUUGGUCCAUCUCACCAUUAU
rnacentral:misc_RNA from 1 species